GAUUGAAGCAUGACGAAAGCGUGCAGGACUUUCCCUUUGAACUUCUUCCUGUUCCAUGAUUAACCUCCAACUGUUAAAUGUUUCCUCAAUAUUGCUCUAUUUAUUCUGCACAGAGCGUUUCUGGUGUGGCUUAUGCAAAAGAGAAUUGCAACAACACAGCAUGUUUCUCUUCUCCCUUUCACACAGUAAGUAUGUCUGUUGUAGACUGCGCUUUAUAAAUGUCUCUUUGAUUAUUCAAUCGGUCUUUGAAAACUUUAUCGUCAUCACCAGCAUGCUUUGUACCUCAGGCUCAUCCGAGACAAUCGUAUCCAGGUAAAAUAAUUUUCUUUAAUCUACACACUUUUAGGAAUUAAUUAGCUAAUUUCAUGGAUAAUUUCAGUGACUGAAUUAUUGCCGGUCAUUCGUACAUUUACUUUAUUAUAUAAAAUAUGUAAAUUAAAUCUCUUUGAAACUUUUAGAAUCUAAUCUGUUGGUUUCUUUUUUUCAUAGCAUUUUAUCAAAGUGUUGUCUGCUACAAAGUUAAAAGUAUUGUACUAGUAGUAAUAUACCAUCCACUAUCUCUGCUUGCAUAUUUCUGAAAACAUGUUAGUGGUGUGGUGGCCAUGGAUUGAGCCAGCCCUGCAAACCCUGUGGAUGGACGAUGCAGUGGACAGUGGGAGGAAGCAUCCUGAAGCUCUCUUUGCAGACCACUGUGUGUGAUUCUCCACUCGCCGACCAGAAAAGACAAACGGCAGGUCUCAGUUGCAGCACCUCAUCCAUCCAUGUCUGAUCCUGCAUCGGCAGAUUCAGCAACACAGCCAGAGACUUCCUGUAAUCUAUUACAGUUGUUAAAAAAAAAAACGGUCCAGGAACAGGUCACUCAGGUUAAUCCUGUAUAAACAACUGUAAAUAUCUUUUUUUCUUCUUUAAAUAUUGUUGGCUUAUUAGAAAUAUUCUUGUUCAAUUGUUGUUGUUAUUUACUUUAUUGCCAUCAAAUAAAUAUCCAUGUAAAAUUGUCCAAAGUUAGCAUUAUGUCAUACAUGUUAAAAAUACCUGAAAAUAAAAUGAGUUCAGUGACAGUUAGUGUUUGUUGUAGUCAAUUUAUUAAUAACAAAAAAACUUUUAAACUAAUGCAACACAUAUAACAAUGUCACAAAAUAUUCAAAUAAAUACAUUUCUUAAUGCAUAACUGAUUUUGGAUCUGAUCUUUCAAGAAGUGAAAGUCUGUCCAUCCUCUCACUGAUCAAAUCGAUCGAUCGGGACCUUGUGAAUCUGAAUCGAAGCCCAACUCGUCUCCACCAAACGCGAGCUCAAUAAUGGCCACAGUGAGCGUGUGAGCAACUAUUUGCCUGCGCUACUGUGCAUGUAUGAAGUGGACCGACUUGUGAUCAGGCACACAUGAGGCGACCGGCUGAGAAUACUGAAAUCAAAGGAAAUGAAACUCUUCUGUCUGGUGAAAUGUUAUACUUACCAAAUCAUGCUCCCUGGCCUUAUAUCCUUUGCAGGUGGAACUGGACCCAGUUGUGAAAACCAAUGAUUUCGUUCCUGAUUUUGUCUGGCCAACAAAGAGUCCAGGCUGGUGAUGAUCAAUUUAAGAACAGAAACACACACUUCUUACCAAAGAAAUGAAUAUUAUUUUACAGUGUUGCUGAAUCACAUGGACGAAUUUAACACCUGGACACAGUAUAGCGUGAUGACUGGCAGGAGGAGAUCUCACCCUGUGUUUCUCUGCCUGUGGUAGAGGUGGAACCAGAUCAAGUGGCGCAGAUUCUUGAACAGCCUCAAGUCAGAGCUGGAUUGACCUUUUGUCACCAGGUACUGAUGAGCCCNNNNNNNNNNNNNNNNNNNNNNNNNNNNNNNNNNNNNNNNNNNNNNNNNNNNNNNNNNNNNNNNNNNNNNNNNNNNNNNNNNNNNNNNNNNNNNNNNNNNAAAAUGUCCAGGAGUCUGGGAGGAGAUCCCUCAGGAGAGCAUCUGCCACUUCAUCAGGAGCAUGCCCAGGUGUUGUAGGAGGUCAUACAGACAUGUGGAGGCACACAGACUACAGAGCCUCAUUUUGACGUGUUUAAGGACAUUACAUAAAACCAAAUUAAUGAUUCUGUAUUGCAUUGAUCAAGGAACCAACCCAAUAGGAGCUAAAGGAAUC
ensembl:lncRNA